rnacentral:rRNA from 1 species
CGCGAAUUCGCCCUUCGGGGUGCCCAGGCGCGAAAACUUUGCAAUGCGGGAAACCGUGACAAGGGAACUCUGAGUGCCCGUUAAAUCGGGCUGUCCAUCGGUUUAAAUAACCGGUGAAGAAAGGGCCGGGCAAGACCGGUGCCAGCCGCCGCGGUAAUACCGGCGGCUCGAGUGGUGGCCACUAUUACUGGGCUUAAAGCGUUCGUAGCUGGUUUGUUAAGUCUCUGGGGAAAUCUUCCGGCUUAACCGGAAGGCGUCUCAGGGAUACUGGCAGACUAGGGACCGGGAGAGGUGAGAGGUACUCCAGGGGUAGGAGUGAAAUCCUGUAAUCCUUGGGGGACCACCUGUGGCGAAGGCGUCUCACCAGAACGGCUCCGACAGUGAGGGACGAAAGCUGGGGGAGCAAACCGGAUUAGAUACCCGGGUAGUCCCAGCUGUAAACGAUGCGCGUUAGGUGUAUCGGUGACCACGAGUCACCGAGGUGCCGAAGAGAAAUCGUGAAACGUGCCGCCUGGGAAGUACGGUCGCAAGGCUGAAACUUAAAGGAAUUGGCGGGGGAGCAC